rnacentral:rRNA from 1 species
AUUGAACGCUGGCGGCAGGCUUAACACAUGCAAGUCGAACGAGUGGCGGACGGGUGAGUAAUGCCUGGGAAACUGCCCGAUGGAGGGGGAUAACUACUGGAAACGGUAGCUAAUACCGCAUACCAUCGGAUGUGCCCAGGUGGGAUUAGCUAGUUGGUGGGGUAAAGGCUCACCUAGGCGACGAUCCCUAGCUGGUCUGAGAGGAUGACCAGCCAAACUGGAACUGAGACACGGCCCAGACUCCUACGGGAGGCAGCAGUGGGGAAUAUUGCGCAAUGGGGGCAAGCCUGAGGCAGCCAGGCCGCGUGAAUGAAGAAGGCCUUCGGGUUGUAAAGUACUUUCAGUGGGGAGGCGUUACCCGCAGAAGAAGCACCGGCUAACUCCGUGCCAGCCGCCGCGGUAAUUC